rnacentral:rRNA from 1 species
UACGCAGGGUGCAAGCGUUACUCGGAAUUACUGGGCGUAAAGGGUGCGUAGGCGGUUCGUUAAGUCUGUCGUGAAAUCCCCGGGCUCAACCUGGGAAUGGCGAUGGAUACUGGCGAGCUAGAGUGUGUCAGAGGAUGGUGGAAUUCCCGGUGUAGCGGUGAAAUGCGUAGAGAUCGGGAGGAACAUCAGUGGCGAAGGCGGCCAUCUGGGACAACACUGACGCUGAAGCACGAAAGCGUGGGGAGCAAACAGG